rnacentral:misc_RNA from 1 species
GAUGAAGAACGCAGCGAAAUGCGAUAAGUAAUGCGAAUUGCAGAAUUCAGUGAAUCAUCGAAUCUUUGAACGCACCUUGCGCCCUUUGGCCAUUCCGAAGGGCAUGCCUGUUUGAGUAUCAUGAACACCUCAACUCUUCAUGGUUUUCCGUGAUGAGCUUGGACUUUGGGGGUCUUGCUGGCCUAUGGUCAGCUCCUCUAAAAUAAAUCAGCUUGCCAGUGUUUGGUGGGUAUCACAGGUGUGAUAACUAUCUACGCUUGUGGUUUUCCACCAGGUAACCUUCAGCAGUGGAGGUUCGCUGGAGCUCACAGAUGUGUCUCUCCUCAGUGAGGACAGCUCUUUGAAUGUUUGAUCUCAAAUCAGGUAGGACUACCCGCUGAACUUAAGCAUAUCAAUAAGCGGAGGA